UAUAGAUCCUGCAGAUUAGCUAAACAUGAAUUUUCCAUUUGAUAAAGCAAGUAAACUGUUCAUGUCUUUAUGAACUCUUUGGAUUUAUCCUACAAUUUCCAGGAAGUUACACAAUUAUCAGGACUCCAAGAACUUUCUACAGUGUGGCGGUGGAUGAACCCAAGUGCAGAAGACGGGCACAGAGACAGAAUCGGGAGGCGUUAUUGGCAUAGCGAGCGUGGACUCUGUAUCCAGGAGCGAUGUUAAACUUAGAACUGGCAGUCCUGAGCACCAUGAAACGACGUUACCAACAAACUGGCAGCUCCUUGUUGUGGUCACAGGGUUUUUAUUCUGAAUUUUCUGAUGGAAAGCAGGAUGGUUAUCACAGGAGAGCCCAACUUUAAAUACAUGGAUGGAAAUUACAAUGAACAUAUACAAAAUGGAGAAGAUAACAGCAUCUGUUAAUCAUAAUCUGGAACAAUUUGAUUCAUACUGGGAAAAGUGGCUUAACUACAUAAUGCCUCAUGGGCCUGAUUUUAUUCUCACAAAUCAAUGAAUCUGUUGUAAAAAAAAAUCACUCCCUACUUGUACAUAGUUCUUUCAUUUUGCUUUUUUCUCUUUCCACAAAUAAGUGUAUACCCCAGAUAAAUACAUUGUGGAGAUUUUGUGAUAUAUAUGAUUAUAUGAUAUAUAUGUACAAUGUCUGAAAUACAUCUUAUGGAAAUGUUUG